rnacentral:rRNA from 1 species
GACGACGCUUGGCGGCGUUGGAUUAGGCAUGCAAGUCGAACGGUAUCAUCCUUUCGGGGGUGAGAGAGUGGCGAACUGGUGAGUAACACGUAGGUUAUCUACCCUCAAGACGGGGACAACCCGGGAAACUUGGGGCUAAUACCGGAUGUGAGCAACUUUUAGUUGUUUGAAAGGUGGCGUAAGCUGUCGCUUGGGGAUGAGCCUGCGUCCUAUUAGUUAGUUGGUGAGGUAACGGCUCACCUAGGCAAUGAUAGGUAGGCGGCCUUAACGGGUGGUCGCCCACACUGGGAUUGAGAUACGGCCCAGACUCCUACGGGAGGCAGCAGUCGAGAAUAGUCUACAAUGGUCGGAAGACUGAUAGUGCGACGCCGCGUGAACGAUGAAUCCCUUCGGGGUGUAAAGUUCUUUUAUAUGUGAGCAGUGCUUCUUAUAUUAACAGUAUGGGGAGAGAGAUAUUAGCAUAUGAAUAAGCAACGGCUAACUCCGUG